GUAUGUACACAUGUUAUAUACAUUUCCAUGAAUUUAACCACAGAAAAAUAAUCACAUUUGCAAACGAAUUGACUGCAGAGACGUUGAAAUUAUUUCUGGUUCUCAAACUGAGCCGAUCCGACAUCUGAUCUUAUCUGAUCUGAUCGCCUACAACCCAAGAAAAUUCCAAACUUUCAAGUUUCAGUCAGUUUGGUUUCGGAAUUGACAAAAAACAAAUCUUCUUUAACAGCUGUUACAUUUUGUUUCUUUCCUAUACAAAAAUACAUACCACACUACAAUUGAGAGUUUAAAAUCUUUCGAGACAGUUACUGAUCUCACUGAUUGAUGCUUCUGAAAUACAUGUACUCUUCUCUCGGUGUUUUAUGUAUGAUAUAUCAUCAUCAACAACAACAACAACAACAACAACAACAACAAGAACAAGAACAACAGCACAAGAAAACCACUACAGCCAGUACAAAAACAAGAACAACAUCAACAUCAACUACAUCUACAGCAAAAGUAACUAACAAAAGUAAUGUUAUACAUCAAAUAUAUGUACAUAUAUGUAUGUACGAGAUGAGCUUCUAUAAAAGCCCACAGCACAGCCAACAACAACAACAACAACAACAUGAACAUGAUGAACAUGAACAUCAACUCAACCUCAAUCUCAACUCAUGACAGUUUGCUACAAGUUUUUCUUAACAUAUUUCUGAACGUUGUGAACUUCAUUUGUACAAUAUAUAUAUGGCUUAUCUUUAAAAGCAUAAACACACAUACACACCACACAUACACAUGCAGUUACACAUUCAUAUAAGUACAUGAAUUCACACUAGUCACAUGCAUUUAAAUAGCAGAAAUGGUGUUGUAAACGCUUACUCUACAUAGACACAUACAUACAUACAUACAUACAUAUGUACAUAUGUACAGAUCCAACAACAACAAUACAAACCAACCAACCACCAACAAGAAAUGUACAAUGUAUGUACAAUUCGUAUAGAAAGUUACCAUAUAAUGAAUAUACCAAAAAUGCUUAAGAUGUUAUGUUAUGUUAUGAUGAAUAAUGAACAAUUAUAUAAAGGAACAGAUGCCGAGACCCUAUCAGUACGUCUAUCAGUAAAAACACCACUCUCAGAUUCUUCUUAACCGUUCUUAACUGCAUAUGUUUCUUGUACACAUAUCGGCGCGGCAGCAGUAUUACGACUAUCGUUACCUACGUCCUCAACGCCUCUCUCUGUCAAUCUAAUAAAGCAAUCCCCUCGUGCCCCCAUCGCUCCAUACCAAGUUAGGAACGAUCGAACUAAUGAAAGAAUGCCUUAACGUGGCUCACAUGACUAGAUCAUGAGUAGCGAAUAGAUGAAUACAAUGACGAUGAGAUUAAGAUGAUGAUUCUACCAAAGGAAGAGGAAUCCACAAUUCUUAACUGUUACUUUAACCCACAAUUGUACUUGUACUUAUACUACUAGAGCUACAAUACUACUUAGCUUAGCUGCGUUUCCCUUCCGCAUUCCAAUCUAGUUUUACUAAAUCCGAGUCCGGACACUCGUAUCCUAGCUCUUAUGCUCCUUUCGAACUCGAAACUCUAUGCGCUCUAUAAAGUAAAUACGUAUUGAAAAUGUUUACCUAGAUUCUACAAUAUCCAUUGCGUUAUUCUCUCAGAUACUUAUACGAUGUACGAUGUUGACGGGCAGUUGAAUUGUUUAAUAUAUUGAAUAAACGUUAAUAAGAAAACACAAAACAAUGGAGAGGCAACUUGAAACAUACAAUAUUAUUCAAUCAUUAUCAAGUUUUUAACGUAAUCAUAAAUGUUUAAAAUGUUAAAUGGUUCAGCCGAUUUUAAUUUUGUUCGUUUGAUUAAUAUUGUGUUAUCGUUAAUAUUAUAGUUAUGAUAAUGUAUGUAUAUGUAUAUCAGAAAGUUCAUUAAAGCAGAUAAUUAUACAUUAUUAUCUAUAUAUGUAUAUGUAUGUAUAUGUAUAUGUAUACGUAUAUGUAUAUGCAUAUGUAUAUGUAUAUGUACAUAUAUGUGUAACUUAAUAGGGAAAUGAAUUUAAUAGAGAAACAACAGACAAAAAAUAAAAAAAAUAAUAAUGUUGGAAAGAAUACCAUUCAAGUCAUUAUUAGAUGUGAAAGCAGUUCUAUACACAAGAAAAGGAUAAAAAAAAAACACAAAACAAAAA